rnacentral:lncRNA from 1 species
AUUUUUCUUUUCCCAUUUCAAGAACACCAGUGGAUGCCUGAAAGUGUAAAGACUACCAAACCCUACCUGCAUUGAGCUGCGGUGCUGAUGUUUCUCCUAGUAGCAUGGCUUUCGGUAUAAAAAUAUGCAAAAAAGUGACGUGAGGAAUAUUUGAACCAAGGUUUUAACCUUCAAAAUAUCAGGAAUGGGAAAGGAGGCAGCUAAGAAGAUGGAGAAGGAUAUACUGGGGAAACAAGUCAUAAGGAUUUGCCUUUCAGUUAAAAAACUUUCCCUGAAGCAGCUAUUAGAGAAAAGCAACUUAUUAUAAUUCUGAAAAUUUUUCCUUCUUGAUGUUCUAUCUCUAUGCAGAUGUCAUCUCCUCUUCCAUUCAGUAGACAAAAAAUAAAAAAUGGAUACUGUGUUAUUGGUGCUCUG